rnacentral:tRNA from 1 species
GCUCAGAUAGCUCAAUAAUUAGAGCGUAGCACUGAAGAUGCUAAGGUGGCGAAUUUCGCCUCAGAGCA